AAACUGAAGAGUUUGAUCAUGGCUCAGAUUGAACGCUGGCGGCAGGCCUAACACAUGCAAGUCGAGCGGCAGCACGGGAAGCUUGCUUCCUGGUGGCGAGCGGCGGACGGGUGAGUAAUGCAUAGAAAUCUGCCCGGUAGUGGGGGAUAACCUGGGGAAACCCAGGCUAAUACCGCAUACGUCCUACGGGAGAAAGCAGGGGCUCUUCGGACCUUGCGCUAUCGGAUGAGUCUAUGUCGGAUUAGCUUGUUGGUGAGGUAAUGGCUCACCAAGGCGACGAUCCGUAGCUGGUCUGAGAGGAUGAUCAGCCACAUCGGGACUGAGACACGGCCCGAACUCCUACGGGAGGCAGCAGUGGGGAAUAUUGGACAAUGGGCGAAAGCCUGAUCCAGCCAUGCCGCGUGUGUGAAGAAGGCCUUCGGGUUGUAAAGCACUUUCAGUGGGGAAGAAAGCCUUGGGGCUAAUACCCUCGAGGAAGGACAUCACCCACAGAAGAAGCACCGGCUAACUCCGUGCCAGCAGCCGCGGUAAUACGGAGGGUGCGAGCGUUAAUCGGAAUUACUGGGCGUAAAGCGCGCGUAGGCGGUCUGAUAAGCCGGUUGUGAAAGCCCCGGGCUCAACCUGGGAACGGCAUCCGGAACUGUCAGGCUAGAGUGCAGGAGAGGAAGGUAGAAUUCCCGGUGUAGCGGUGAAAUGCGUAGAGAUCGGGAGGAAUACCAGUGGCGAAGGCGGCCUUCUGGACUGACACUGACGCUGAGGUGCGAAAGCGUGGGUAGCAAACAGGAUUAGAUACCCUGGUAGUCCACGCCGUAAACGAUGUCGACUAGCCGUUGGGCUCCUUGAGAGCUUUGUGGCGCAGUUAACGCGAUAAGUCGACCGCCUGGGGAGUACGGCCGCAAGGUUAAAACUCAAAUGAAUUGACGGGGGCCCGCACAAGCGGUGGAGCAUGUGGUUUAAUUCGAUGCAACGCGAAGAACCUUACCUACCCUUGACAUCGUGCGAACUUUCCAGAGAUGGAUUGGUGCCUUCGGGAACGCACAGACAGGUGCUGCAUGGCUGUCGUCAGCUCGUGUUGUGAAAUGUUGGGUUAAGUCCCGUAACGAGCGCAACCCUUGUCCUUAUUUGCCAGCGCGUAAUGGCGGGAACUCUAAGGAGACUGCCGGUGACAAACCGGAGGAAGGUGGGGACGACGUCAAGUCAUCAUGGCCCUUACGGGUAGGGCUACACACGUGCUACAAUGGCCGGUACAAAGGGUUGCGAAGCCGCGAGGUGGAGCUAAUCCCGAAAAGCUGGUCUCAGUCCGGAUCGGAGUCUGCAACUCGACUCCGUGAAGUCGGAAUCGCUAGUAAUCGUGAAUCAGAAUGUCACGGUGAAUACGUUCCCGGGCCUUGUACACACCGCCCGUCACACCAUGGGAGUGGACUGCACCAGAAGUGGGUAGCCUAACUUAGGAGGGCGAUCACCACGGUGUGGUUCAUGACUGGGGGGAAGUCGGAACAAGGUAGCCGUAGGGGAACCUGCGGCUGGAUCACCUCCUUAUC
rnacentral:rRNA from 1 species